rnacentral:tRNA from 1 species
GCACGGAUGGCGAAGUGGCUAACGCACUCGAUUUUCAAUCUAAUUGAAAAGGUGAACCUGCAGCAUUUCGCAGCCAGCGAGUAUUCGGGGGUUCGAAUCCCUCUCCGUGCU